CCUACGGGGGGCAGCAGUGGGGAAUAUUGGGCAAUGGGCGCAAGCCUGACCCAGCAACGCCGCGUGAAGGAAGAAGGCUUUCGGGUUGUAAACUUCUUUUCUCAGGGACGAAGCAAGUGACGGUACCUGAGGAAUAAGCCACGGCUAACUACGUGCCAGCGGCCGCGGUAAUACGUAGGUGGCAAGCGUUAUCCGGAUUUACUGGGUGUAAAGGGCGUGUAGGCGGGACUGCAAGUCAGAUGUGAAAACCACGGGCUCAACCUGUGGCCUGCAUUUGAAACUGUAGUUCUUGAGUACUGGAGAGGCAGACGGAAUGCCUAGUGUAGCGGUGAAAUGCGUAGAUAUUAGGAGGAACACCAGUGGCGAAGGCGAUUUGCUGGACUGUAACUGACACUGAGGCACGAAAGCGUGGGGAGCAAACAGGAUUAGAUACCCGAGUAGUC
rnacentral:rRNA from 1 species